AAUAAGUGCAGUUUUAGCACUAUUAAUGUUCGUUUAACUGUUCGUCUUAUUUGAAAAAAGAUUAUGAUUAGUAUUUUUAUUAUUAUUAGAUGAUAAAACAUGAAUAGUACUUUAUGUGUGACUAAUUUUUUUAAUAUUUUUUAUAAAAUUUUUAAAUAAGACGGAUGGUCAAAGCGCUAAACACGGAUAUUUAUGGCUGCACUUAUU
rfam:Oryza glaberrima chromosome 5 Oglab05_0006_2, whole genome shotgun sequence.